CCAAGCGAUGGGGUGACGCAGGAAGGUAGCUGGGCCAGUCAGUGGUUGUACUGGUGUAAGAGUGUAGGCCGUGACAUAGGCAAAUCCGUGUCACAUUAAGGCUGAGACUUGAUGCAUACCCGUUGUGGGGAAUUCAGUGAUCCUAUGCUGCCGAGAAAAGCCUCUAGUGAGUUCAUACACGGCCCGUACCCCAAACCGACACAGGUGAUCAGGUAGUGAAUACCAAGGCGAUCGAGAGAACUGUGGUUAAGGAACUCGGCAAAAUGCCCCCGUAACUUCGGGAGAAGGGGGACCAUGCCCGGUGAACAUCUUCACGGUGGGAGCUGGGUGUGGUCGCAGAGACCAGAGAGAAGCGACUGUUUACUAAAAACACAGGUCCGUGCGAAGACGUAAGUCGAUGUAUACGGACUGACGCCUGCCCGGUGCUGGAAGGUUAAGAGGACCGGUUAGCCGUAAGGCGAAGCUGAGAAUUUAAGCCCCAGUAAACGGCGGUGGUAACUAUAACCAUCCUAAGGUAGCGAAAUUCCUUGUCGGGUAAGUUCCGACCUGCACGAAUGGCGUAACGACUUCUCUGCUGUCUCGACCACAGACUCGGCGAAAUUGCACUACGAGUAAAGAUGCUCGUUACGCGCGGCAGGACGAAAAGACCCCGGGACCUUUACUAUAGCUUGGUAUUGGCGUUCGAUUCGGUUUGUGUAGGAUAGGUGGGAGACUGUGAAGCAUGCACGCCAGUGUGUGUGGAGUCGUUGUUGAAAUACCACUCUGAUCGUAUUGGACGUCUAACCUCGGCCCAUGAUCUGGGUUAGGGACAGUGCCUGGUGGGUAGUUUAACUGGGGCGGUUGCCUCCUAAAGAGUAACGGAGGCGCCCAAAGGUUCCCUCAGCCUGGAUGGCAAUCAGGUGUUGAGUGCAAGUGCACAAGGGAGCUUGACUGUGAGACUGACACGUCGAGCAGGGACGAAAGUCGGGACUAGUGAUCCGGCACCGGCAAGUGGAAGCGGUGUCGCUCAACGGAUAAAAGGUACCCCGGGGAUAACAGGCUGAUCUUCCCCAAGAGUCCAUAUCGACGGGAUGGUUUGGCACCUCGAUGUCGGCUCGUCGCAUCCUGGGGCUGGAGUAGGUCCCAAGGGUUGGGCUGUUCGCCCAUUAAAGCGGCACGCGAGCUGGGUUUAGAACGUCGUGAGACAGUUCGGUCUCUAUCCGCCGCGCGCGUAAGAAACUUGAGGAAGGCUGUCCCUAGUACGAGAGGACCGGGACGGACGAACCUCUGGUGUGCCAGUUGUUCCACCAGGAGCAUGGCUGGUUAGCUACGUUCGGAAGGGAUAACCGCUGAAAGCAUCUAAGCGGGAAGCCUGUUCCAAGAUGAGGUUUCUCACCACCUUGCGUGGUUAAGGCCCCCUACAGACCAUGGGGUUGAUAGGCCGGAACUGGAAGCGCAGCAAUGCGUGGAGGUGACCGGUACUAAUAGGCCGAGGGCUUG
rnacentral:rRNA from 1 species